rnacentral:rRNA from 1 species
UGGGGAAUCUUGCGCAAUGGGCGAAAGCCUGACGCAGCGACGCCGCGUGCGGGAAGAAGGCCUUCGGGUUGUAAACCGCUUUCAGGAGGGACGAAGCCACUCGGGUUAAUAGCCCAGAGGGUGACGGUACCUUCAGAAGAAGCCCCGGCUAACUACGUGCCAGCAGCCGCGGUAAUACGUAGGGGGCAAGCGUUGUCCGGAUUUAUUGGGCGUAAAGCGCGUGUAGGCGGCCAGGUAGGUCCGUUGUGAAAACUCGAGGCUCAACCUCGAGACGUCGACGGAAACCCUCUGGCUAGAGUUCGGGAGAGGAGAGUGGAAUUCCCGGUGUAGCGGUGAAAUGCGCAGAUAUCGGGAAGAACACCCGUGGCGAAGGCGGCUCUCCGGAACGAUACUGACGCUGAGACGCGAAAGCGUGGGGAGCGAACAGGAUUAGAUACCCUGGUAGUCCACGCCGUAAACGAUGGGUGCUAGGUGUAGGCGGUGUCGACUCCGUCUGUGCCGAAGCUAACGCAUUAAGCACCCCG